UGCUUAUAACUUUCCAAAGAAUUCUCCUUUUUGGGCUUUCUGAUUUUGUUUUAAGCCCAAAGGCGAAUUUCUUGGGAAGUUUGAGCU
rnacentral:pre_miRNA from 12 species